GACGAACGCUGGCGGCGUGCUUAACACAUGCAAGUCGAGCGGUAAGGCCCUUCGGGGUACACGAGUGGCGAACGGGUGAGUAACACGUGGGUGAUCUGCCCUGCACUUCGGGAUAAGCCUGGGAAACUGGGCCUAAUACCGGAUAGGACCACUGCCUGCAUGGGUGGUGGUGGAAAGCUUUGGCGGUGUGGGAUGGGCCCGCGUCUGAUUAGCUAGUUGGUGGGGUAAAGGCCUACCAAGGCGACGAGCAGUAGCUGGGCUGAGAGGAUGAUCAGCCACACUGGAACUGAGACACGGUCCGGACUCCUACGGGAGGCAGCAGUAAGGAAUAUUGGACAAUGGGGGAAACCCUGAUCCAGCCAUGCCGCGUGAGUGACGAAGGCCUUAGGGUUGUAAAGCUCUUUUGGUGGGGAAGAUAAUGACUGUACCCACAGAAUAAGCCCCGGCUAAAUUCGUGCCAGCCGCCGCAGUAA
rnacentral:rRNA from 1 species